GGUCCUAUGGUGUAAUGGUUAGCACGUCGGAUUCUGACCCUCCUGAUUUCCGGAGAUCCCGGUUCGAUUCCGGGUAGGACCU
rnacentral:tRNA from 1 species